UAUUCACCCUUUUGUUAACCUUUUAAAUUAUUUAGUACAUAUUCCCAGAAAUGCCCGAAUUCACUUGGAUAAUGAACAGUCCACAGAAUUCUGUAGGGAUACAAAUAAAAUAACCACUUUUCAUGACCAGCUGCUUUCCCGUGCUCUCUGCCAGGCCCCCUUCCACGCAUCUGCUCGCAUCUCCAGGGACUCAGCGCUUCCUCUCACUCCUUCGGAGGUUUUCUCUCAGAUUCGGAUGCCCUCCAUUGGUCCAUGCGCUUUGGAGAGAGCCUAGAAUACGGCCUUCCCCACUGCCUAAUCCGCGACACUUCCUCAUCCCUAACAACUCCUCACUAAAGGUCAAAAUAAAACAAAUGACACCUGCA
rnacentral:lncRNA from 1 species